rnacentral:lncRNA from 1 species
UUAGAAACGGCUGAAAAUAGAUCCUCACUGAUAAAGCUUGGAAAAUUAGAAAGAAAGGAGAAAAAAUCUCUCAAUCAUUGUUCCAUUACAGUUUGUUUUCAUAUUUCUGGGAAUUUUAAAAGUUCAAGCGGAUUACUAAUCUUCUGGGCUCAAAAGAUGGGUGUAGCUGUGUGACAAUUGUUGUUACUGCCUGUUUAAGAGCUGUUGCUACUGUUAUUUCAUUACUGAAGUUCUUUGUUUGUCUCUCAUUGUUCCAGGUACUGUUCUUACUUUUGAAAUGUCAAAUCAGAAGCAUUACAUGGAUUAAAAUGAAGGAGUUUUCUGCUUGUCAUUCUAUUGUUAUCUUCAGCAUUUGAUCUGUUUUUCUUUACUACUUUAUGUUAAUUGUUACUUCCUAGUUAGGGCUAAGUGUUGGUAUUUACUCUUUUCUACAUUAAAGCUCUGACGUUCAGCUGUUUGGGUUUCAAGUUUGUAUAGAUAUUUUAGAUGUAAUUUUGGGAACUAUGUUAAACUAUGGACUGUGAGAUUGACAUAUUUUAAGCCGCUGAACAUUUUAGCAUGCUUGCUAUGAUCCGGUAGAUAGUCAUGUUUAGGUAGCA